rnacentral:rRNA from 1 species
GACAGAGGGUGCAAACGUUGUUCGGAAUUACUGGGCGUAAAGCGAGUGUAGGCGGUCCGACAAGUCAGGUGUGAAAGCCCUGGGCUCAACCCAGGAAGUGCACUUGAAACUGCCGGGCUAGAGUACUGGAGAGGUUGGUGGAAUUCUCGGUGUAGAGGUGAAAUUCGUAGAUAUCGAGAGGAACACCGGUGGCGAAGGCGGCCAACUGGACAGAUACUGACGCUGAGACUCGAAAGCGUGGGGAGCAAACAGG